ensembl:lincRNA
AAAAAAAAAAAAAAAAAAAAAAAAAAAAGCCAUGCAGAAAUAACUGAUGCAGUUUAGAUACUUUAAAAGCAAAGCCUUAUCUAAAAAAGCGUCUGUUAUUGCAUCUAAAGUAGUUAAACUCAUUAAAGAAAUGUGCUAUAUCAGAGGUCCUCCUUCCUGUGCAGGCCAAUGGUGUCAACAGGGGGUGUGGCAGAACGAAUAAAAACACAGACAAGUUAGUGUGGGAUGAUGGUCUCAAUGUGUGUGAUACUCAGAAGAACCUGGCCUAGUUCUUCUCCGCCCAUAUUCUGUGAUCAGUCCUGCUGCAGAGGCAGCCAGGUACAACCCUACUACCUGCCGGUCUCUCCCGCAUAACCGAAGGAGCCAAGGUCCUGGACCAGACAAGAUGAUAAGGGUGGCACGCUGCACAAAGAAACAGCUGCCUUUUGUGUGUCCUUGCGCGAAGACCGGCUUCCCAGGACUGUAAAUGCUUUAUCUGCGUAGCACUUCAUCUAAACAAUUCAGCAGGUAGGAGGUUCGGGUCCCCGUCUAUUUAAACGCAAACAAGGCGGCUGAGAAGCCAGAGGAGCCAGGCCGUUCAGACUCCACGGUGUGAGCGUGCGGCCACCGAGUUUAGCAACCAGGCUGAGACCCUGAGAGCGGCUGAACAGGCAGCCCUUGCUGCGCACCUGGAAGUUCGCGGCCUUUCUCACGGGAAACGCCGCGGUUACGGGGGCUGAUGGAUGGGGGCCCGUCCUCAGGCGCGUCCAAAACGAUACCUCGGGCCAGUACUUCUGCAGCUGUCGCCCUCUUCCUCACAUCCCACGACUCCGCAAAGCCGUCCCGCCUGGCGCGAGGCCCGCGUUCCAGCGGCCCAGGACCACGGCACCGUCUCGCGCCGCCCGCUGCCGCCGCCACCACAUUCGAAAUUCUUCGCCGCGCUCACCCAUUGGCUGGUUGGCGGCGGUCACGUGACGCGACGUCGCCCCACAAGUAACGUCACAGCGUCCCGCCAACGGGCGAGGACUAGUGACGCAGCGACGGGCCCCACCCCUUUGUCCCGGGUAGAGCCCGCGUCUGGAGGGUGUUUCUUGCUCAGAGUCGUCAGAUUGAAGGGCGGAGUUGCUCCGAAAGUUUUGAGUGGCAGACGCUGAGUUUUUCUUUGCCAUACAACUACUGAAUGAAGAUGUGAACUGUGAGGAGGUGAGCUUUACCUUUAUGGUACUUCGCAUCAGGGCAAGAGAAGGGGCUAACAGGUGAGAAAAAGGUAAAUGCUAAAAGACAUUAGAGAACUAGAGUGCGAUUUCUAGAACAGUCAAGACAUGCCUUACACUGGAAAAACCCAUUUUUAAAAGCUAUCCCCUGCAGUGCUAUUAGCAUAGUUAGUUACGUAUUAAAUGUAUCAGUUUCACAUGGAACUUUAAACAAGAGGAACCUCUAAAAACAAAGAGGCAUAGGCCUUAUCCUGCUUCAGUGAGCUAGGGCCUUUCUUUCUCUUGAUUACUUCUCCAGGUGAUUCUGACGUAUGCCAAACUUUAUAUCCACAUAAAUCACAUCGGAGAAUCUUGUUAAAAUGCAAAUUCUGAUUGAGUAGAUCUAAGGAUGGGUGAGCCUGAGAUUCUGUAUUUCUAACAAGCUCUCAGAGAUUGCUGAUUGUUGUUGGUCUAUAGAAGGGCAAAAUUGUAAGGCAGUGAUUCUUACACUUGCUGAGCAUUGGAAUAACCUUGGGACCUCAGCAACUACUCUCUGGUUCACAGGAAUCUUGACUGAAUAGUGCUAUAGUUUGAAUCUAGAAUGAUCCUCAAAAGCUCACAUUACAGGCUUGGUCCUUGGCUUGGUGAAAACUUUAAGAGGUGGGGCAUAAAAUAAAAAACAAAAACAACAAAAAAAAAGAAAUGGGGGCUGGGGAUUUAGCUCAGGGGCACAGCGCCUGUCUGGCAAGCGCAAGGUCAUGAAUUCGAUUCCCGGUACAGAAAAAAACAAAAAUAAAAAAACACAAAACAAAACAAAAAAAGAGGUGGGGCAUAGUAGAAGGAAGUUUGGUUAGGGAGGGCAGGUUCUUGAAGGGAAUAUUGUUCCCUUUCUUUCUCUCUUUGCUUCCUGGGUAACAUGAUGUGAACAUAUCUCCUCUGCCAGGGCCUCCCACAUCAUAAAGUACUGUGUUGCCUCCAUAGACGAAAGCAACAAGACCAAGCAACAUGAACUGAAACCUCUGUAUCUUUGAGGCAAAAAUCUUCUUUUUAAAUUGAUUUUCUCAGGUAUUUUGUCACAGUAAUAAAAAGCUGGUUAAUACAAGUAGAUACGAUGGAAUAAAGCUUAGGCAUAUGGAAUUUAAUGUACUUCUCAGAAGCACGAUGUAAGUGAUCAUUUUGAGAACAUUUAGUCUGCUUUUGCUAAUCAUCCUCUUGGCUAUAAGCACAAGUUCUAAACCCUUUUCUUCUAUAUUCCUGUCUCCAUCUGGAAACAGAUUUAUUCCAUUUCAGAGUUGUAGAAAUGGUGCUCAUUGUACUAAAAGCCUUAGCAUGAAAUUCCUAAGAAACAAAGAACAUUCUCUUUUACAGCCUUAGCACAGUUAACCAGGGCCAGAAAAUUUAACGUUGGUACAUUAUUUAAAUUGGUUUCUGUACUCCAGUUUCAGCAAGUGUUGCAAUAGUGUUUUUUAUGCCUAUAUUUUUUCUCUUAGUCCAGGAUUAAUUUGAGAAUUACUGUGCCGGUUCAUCCCUUGAGAUACAACAUGAAGUCUUCUUUGCUACUGUAAAGCAGAGGCAAGUUGGCUUCAUUCCUUUCCCUUUAGUUCAUUGUCUUUCAGCUUUUAAAAUACAGCUUUAUUUGUAUUGCCAUGCCCAUUUACCAGCAGGACUUUUACACAUAAAGAAGCCACAAGUAAAUAUGCUUUAAUCUACAUUCCAGCCUACAUUUACCAAUGUAAUAAUUGUUUUAGAUUGUAGAUAUAACACUUCAGCCAGGACUUUUCGAAUAACUCAUCUUAUAAAAAGCAAUUCACUGAACACCAAAAAUGUGAUACAUAAAAG